CUUAAAGUUAAGUUAAAUAUAAUUUUUAAUCAUUUUUUUAAUUAAUACUAUGCAUGGAGUUUUAAAAUGUAAUUUAUUUAUCUACUGCUUUUAAGUACUUAUUAGCAAAGAGGCAAAGUGACGAUAUAAAUAAAUAAAUACGGCCGAGCUAACCCGGAGAAUAAAAGCAACGCACCCAGGAGACAGUGGGGAAGAGAACCGGAUGUAAACAAAGACACGCUAUUGUGCGCAUGGAGUUUAACACGUAGGAGGAUUUCUUUAUAAUAUUGCCAAGGAAACGACGUUGGAGGUCCAAAGCAACCACCACGAAUCUGAAGAGGCAGCCGGGGGAAGCAUACUGCGUCUCACCCAACAUGAUUGCGUUGAUGAUGAGCCCCACGAUGUUCUGCAGGAUCAGGACAGUGAUGGCUGUAAGACAGUGUUCAGUGAUCAUUCUCCCUCCGAAGCCUAUGGUGACCUGGACCUCGAUGGAGAACAGGAAAGCUGAGGCUGCAGGAUGACCUUCAACAGCUGCACGUCUGAAAAAGGCAGCGUUUGAGUCCAAACACACUGAAGCAAGCAUAAUGUUUGAAAAUUAAAUAAAAGGAAGGAUAUGUG